rnacentral:rRNA from 1 species
GGAGGACGGUGGAAUGAGCGGCGGACGGGUGAGUAACACGUAAAGAACCUGCCCAUAGGUCUGGGAUAACCACGAGAAAUCGGGGCUAAUACCGGAUGUGUCAUCGGACCGCAUGGUCCGUUGAUGAAAGGCGCUUGGCGUCGCCCAUGGAUGGCUUUGCGGUGCAUUAGCUAGUUGGUGGGGUAACGGCCCACCAAGGCGACGAUGCAUAGCCGACCUGAGAGGGUGAUCGGCCACACUGGGACUGAGACACGGCCCAGACUCCUACGGGAGGCAGCAGUAGGGAAUCUUCCACAAUGGACGAAAGUCUGAUGGAGCAACGCCGCGUGAACGAUGAAGGCUUUCGGGUCGUAAAGUUCGUGUUGUAAGGGAAGAACAAGUGCCGCAGGCAAUGGCGGC